AGGAAGUACGAUUUAAGCUAUUAGGUGGAUGACUCGGUUCGAGACGCCGAUGAAGGGCGUGACAAGCUACGAUAUGCCCUGGCGAGCAGCAUGUAUGCUUUGAACCAGGGGUGCCUGAAUGCGACUUCGCUUUAAGACCGAAAGGUCAGGGAACGCAGGGAACUGAAACGUCUCAGUACCUGCAGGAAAAGAAACCAAACGGGAUGCGGUUAGUAAGAGCGACCGAAAACCGCAGAAGGCAAACUGAAUCUUGCAUGGAAACAUGCAAGAGAUGUGGUGUUUGGACCGCCUCUUAACCUUCGCUAGUCGACCUGAAGUCUGCUGGAAAGCAGCACGCCAAAGGGUGAUAGUCCCGUAAGGGAAGACUAGAAAGGUGUGGCGAGCUCCAGAGUACUGUCAAUUGGAUAUUUGGCAGGAAUGCGGGAGGCAUCAACUUCCAACCUUAAAUACGUCUCGAGUCCGAUAGCGUACAGUACAGUGAUGGAACGUUGAAAAGAACCCUUGACAGGGAGUUAAAAGACUCUGAAACCUAAUAGCUACGGUGAGUUACGGCUCUUAGGAGUUGUAACGUCCGUUUUGAAUAACGUGCCAGGGAGUGCAUUUGAGUGGCAAGGGUAACUCGUAAAGAGGCACCCGCAGGGAAACCGAAAGGCCCGCAGGAAACCAGGGGCUAGGUAUGAAAAUGCCUCAAGUCACUUGAAUGCGACCCGAAGCCGCGUGAUCUAACCCAGGGCAAGGUGAAGCGGGGGUAAAACCUCGUGGAGGCCUGCAGAGAACUUACGUGCAAGUAGUCUUCUGACCUUGGGCUAGGGGUGAAAAGCCAAUCGAACGCGGUGAUAGCUGGUUCCUACCGAAAUUGGCCGCAGUCAAGUCUCGGAGGAGAUAGUUGGAGAGGUAGAGAUACGGAUUGGGGAUUUAGGGAGGGAAACUUCUCGGUUCCCUGUCCAACUCCGAAUGUUCCAACGUCGUAGAUUCCGGGAAACGGCUACUCGCCGUAAGGGUGGGUAGCUAGAGGGGAACAACCCAGACUGGAGUUAAGGUCCCUAAAUAUACGCUAAGUGUUAAAGGGUGAAAGGCGUUUACAUUCAAAGACAGCGAGGAGGUUGGCUUAGAAGCAGCCACCCUAUAAUAAGUGCGUAACAGCUUACUUGUCAAGAAUGUAAGCCCUGAAAAUGGACGGGGCUAAGCGUAUUACCGAUACUCCAGACAUCCGCAAGGAUCGUGGUAGGUAGGCGUUCUGCGAGGGCAAAAGCUUUCUUGAAAGAGGGAGUGAACCUCGUAGAAAUGAGAAUCCUGGUGAAAGUAGGAUCAUAGCAGAGUGAGAAUCUCUGCCACCGAAAGGGCAAGGGUUCCUUGACAAUGCAGUUCAGUCAAGGGUAAGUUGAUCCUAACCGUUCUCCUAACAGGUUGAACGGGAAAGGGAAAAAGGUUAAGAUUCCUUUACUGUCCAAGUACUCGUGGCAACACAAGUCUUGUUUCCGACAGUUCUGGCUAGAUUGACACAAGUCAUCCAUUGUGUUAACCGAUGCAAUUCAAGGGAGGAUCGUAAUGAUGAGAACUUGAAUAAACCCGGGAAUAGUGGGCCUUUGGUCCAUUCAGUCGAUGCCUGGACUCCAUGAAAAGGGAACAGGAAUGGAACCUGGACAGCCAUACCCAGAACCAGCACAGGUGCCCCUAGGUUAGAAGCCUAAGGUGUGAGGGAUUAAUCCGUUUUAGGGAACUCGGCAAAUUAGCCCCGUACCUUCGGUAUAAGGGGUCCCUACGCUCGUAGCCCUAUGGUUGCGAGUAUAGGGCGCAGUGACUAAGGGGGUCCGACUGUUUAACAAAAACACAACUUUCUGCUAGCCUGAAAAGGUGUGUACAGAAGGUGACGUCUGCCCAGUGCCAGUACUUCAAACUCCUUUCCAAGGGAGCUAAGAGCUGGUAAACGGCGGGAGUAACUAUAACUCUCUUAAGGUAGCGAAAUGCCUUGCCGUUUGAAUGACGGCCUGCAUGAAUGGCGUAACGAGAUCCCCACUGUCCCAAGACGGAAUCCCCUGAAAACUCUUUACUGGUGCAAAGGCCAGUGAUUCCCAGUGGGAAGCGAAGACCCCGUGAAACUUUACUGUAGCUUGUUGUUGCGACGUGAGUUUUGUUGUAUAGUGUAAGUGGGAGUCGCUAUGUUAUGGUCGCCAGAUCAUGAAUAGACGCCGAUGUAACACCACUCUUCAAGACUUACGCCGCUCACUUGGAGACAAGGACAGCGGCAGGUGGACAGUUUGGCUGGGGUGGCACACCGUUGAAAGUAUAUCAAUGGUGCCCUAAGGUUGGCUCAACCGGGUCAGAAAUCCGGUGUAGAGUGCAAGAGCAAAAGCCAGCCUGAUUGGAUUCCGGACAAGGAGGGAUCCAAAGACGAAAGUCUGGUCUAGCGAACCUCUAUGGCUCCUUGAUGGGGCCUAGAGAUGACCGAAAAGUUACUCCGGGGAUAACAGAGUUGUCGCGCCCGAGAGCUCAUUGUCGGAAAGCAGAGCUUUCGGACGAGUUGAUCGACGGCGCGGCUUGCUACAUCGAUGUCGGCUCUUCCUAUCCUGGCAGUGCAGAAAUAUCGAAGAAUUCCGUUCUUCGGAACAUCCAGUUUCUUCGGAACUGUAUGCUGCCAAGGGUGGGGGUGUUCACCCAUCAAAAGGGAUCGUGAGCUGGGUUCAGAACGCUGUGAGGCAGUUUGUUUGAUAUCUACUGGGAAUGUUUGGUGUCUGAGUGGAAGGAUCCUCUAGUACGAGAGGAACGGGGAUUCGAGGCCUCUGGUCGACCUGUUAUCUGACAAGGUACGCAGGGCAGCUACGCCUUACGGGAUAAGUGCUGAAAGCAUCUAAGCACGAAACCCCCCGCAAAAAGAGACACCUUGAACUCGAGAAAAAGACUCGUUUGAUAGGCACGGUGUGUAAGUACGAAGCUUCGGCGACGUAUUGAGCAUGCGUGUACUAACCGUUCGUAAUGUACUUCCU
rnacentral:rRNA from 1 species